rnacentral:lncRNA from 1 species
CCCAGGCAUGAGAUGAGAACUAUUGACCAGGCCAGGUUGGUGCACCAUGAACCUUCUCCACUCCACUGCUACUCUCAAGGCGUCCACGGUGUCGGGAUCCCUUGUAUCCUCCGAGCACUGGAGUUUAAGGUGGUUGCUGCUGUAGCUGGCUGAGGCUGGUCCAAAAUGCCUGUGAUGGAGUUGGGGUCAGAGCAAGGGAGAGUUCCAGUCUGCACUUUCACUAAGAAAGGUCCGCAGAGCUGUGGGACAACUUCUUUGUCCUUCUCGGACCUCAGUUUCCCUCCACAUGGGAGUCUCUGCUACAACCCGGGGUCGAGUGGGAGUGAAGAGCUGUCUUGCUGCUGCAGCAAACAGGGAGUGAGUUCCCCAUUCUUGGGGCUAUGCAAGCAGAGGCGAGGCUGGAACUGAGCAGAACUUUGAGCUGCCUCCCCAAAAGGUGGAGAAUCCUUCCUGAAUCUGAUUUCUGCCUUUCCUGUUCUGGUAGAGGCUCUCUUGCUUGCCUUCCAUUCUCCCAGUGACCUUCUAACCGCUACAGGCCUGACUGCUAGAGCCACAUGGAGGCAGAAGAGGCAUUAAAGGGCAAAACCCAGUUCCACUCUGUACUGGGGAGAGCUCUUAUUAGGCUUAAUUGAAAUAAAUGGGAUUGCUUCCCGUCUAGUGU